rnacentral:lncRNA from 1 species
AGGGACUUGGGGGUCUUCCCAGCAACAUCAGCUCUGUCAGCUCCUUGCUGCUCUUCAACACCACCUAGAACCUGUACAAGAAGUAUGUCUUCCUGGACCCCCUGGCUGGUGCUGUAACAAAGACCCAUGUGCAGAGACAGAGGAGAAGCUGUUUGAUGCCCCCUUGUCCAUCAGCAAGAGAGAGCAGCUGGAACAGCAGGUCCCUGAGAACUACUUCUAUGUGCCAGACCUGGGCCAGGUGCCUGAGAUUGAUGUUCCAUCCUACCUGCC